UGCCUGUCUCUGUGUGAUAUGUUUGAUAUUAGGUUGUUUUUUGGUUUAAAGCAACUAAAUAUUAGACAUAUUCCUACAGCGUCUGGCC
rnacentral:pre_miRNA from 1 species